UCUAGCCACGUGUAACAUCUUAAUUUUUUAUAAAUUCCUUUUCAAAACUCUGAAAUGGUUCUACAACAAUGAAUGAUGAUGAUGUCGAUUCAUUACCAUCACGACAUCACCCUUCAACAUUCAAAGUCAAUAACUCAUUGAAUUAAUUUUCCUCAUUCGUUUGAGCUGCCAAUUUAAUUGAUUUUAUUUUAUUAACUCCUUAAUCUUCUCUUCUCCCCCAUUUAAUCUUUGAACGGUUCUCAACCAAAUUACUAUGUAAUUGAUUCAUUAAUUAAUGACUCAUUAAGUGGAUGAACUUGAAAAGGUAGAAUUUUAUGGGGAUAUUUAAGUGGAUGAACUCUUUCAUGCGAACAUCCGGUUGCAGGGGCUGCUGUCAAACUACCAAAAAACUGUGUCUUUGUUAUUGUGGGUGUGAAUUGUGAUUGCUCAUCAUUUAAAUAGUCUUUUUCAUUUUAAAGUUGAAUUUUCUUCUAACUUUAAUUGUUUGGUUUCUUGAGGUAUCAGUUUCUGUGUAGGAUUGUAAAUCAGAAUAAAUGACCAUUUACGUAUUGCACAAUUAAUUUCAUAUGGUUGUUUAAUUAAGUUUCUUCCAAUAA